rnacentral:lncRNA from 1 species
AUGGAAGUAAAAGUUGUCCCCGGACCUCCGCGCCGCGCCCGUCAUCAGCUCUGCCUUGACGACGGGGCCAUUGUCAGCAGGUCUCAGCUCCUCGAGGACAAAAUUGGAAAGAAUAUAAAUUGCAGAGCCGCAAAAGAGGCGGAGGCGGUGCGUGCGCGCGCGCGCGUGUCCCGGGAGGUGGCGUCUAUUAGCAUCAAUACGGCGGAGCCAGGGGACCCAGCCGGAGCCUGCAAACUUCGAGCCAAACUCCAGGAUCGCGCCCCCCCGCCCUUCCUCCUCCUCCUCCCCUCCGUGCCUGACCCCUGCCGCGGGAAAGGCGUCCCCGGGGAAGCCCGGGGGAGCCUGGGGGCUCCGAGAGAGUGGCCUCGGAUUCGCUGCUCCGCCUCCCCCUCCCGACGAUGGGCUUUGCCCUGGAGCGCUUCGCCGAAGCGGCGGACCCGGACUGCAAGUGCAAACUGUGCGGCCAGGUGCCGGAGGAGCCGCUGUGCACGCCGUGCGGGCACGUCUUCUGCGCCGGCUGCCUGCUGCCCUGGGUGGCGCGGCGGCGCCGGGGCCCACUGCAGCGCCAGCCCCCCGCGCCGGGCGAGCUGCACCGGGCGCCGCCUGCGCGCAGCCUCCUGCAGCAGCCGCGCGUCCAGGGCGGCGGCCGCUCGGCCCGGCUGCACGAGCUGGCGGCGCACGUCGAGCGCGGGGCCCGGCGCCGCCCGCGGGGCUGCGUCUCGGGGCCCGGCGGCCGCGGCGGCGGGGACCUGCCCGCGCGGGGGGCUGCGGCGCGGCGCCGGGGCCGGGGCCGGGGCCGGGGCCCGGCCGGGGCGGGGGCGCGCGCGGGGGGCCGCCGGGCGGGAGCGGGAGCGGCAGCGGCAGCGGCAGCGGGCGGGGGCCCGGGGCGCGAGUCCUGGCCUGGAGGCGGCGCGAGAGGGCUCUGCGGGCGCAGCUCCGGGCGCUGCAGGGCGAGGUGCAGCUCGCGGCCCGCGGGUACCGGGAGAAGUUCGCGCAGUACAUGGCUCACGUCCGCAACUUCGCCGGGGAGCUGGGCGGCGGCCGCGGCCCGGAUGGAGAACAUAA